rnacentral:rRNA from 1 species
AUUGAACGCUGGCGGCAUGCCUUACACAUGCAAGUCGAACGGCAGCACGGGUGCUUGCACCUGGUGGCGAGUGGCGAACGGGUGAGUAAUACAUCGGAACGUACCUUAUCGUGGGGGAUAACGCAGCGAAAGCUGUGCUAAUACCGCAUACGCCCUGAGGGGGAAAGCGGGGGAUCGAAAGACCUCGCGCGAUUAGAGCGGCCGAUGCCUGAUUAGCUUGUUGGUGGGGUAAAAGCCCACCAAGGCGACGAUCAGUAGCUGGGCUGAGAGGACGAUCAGCGACACGGGGACGGAGACACGGCGCAGCCUCCUACGGGAGGCAGCAGUGGGGAAUUUUGGACAAGGGGGGCAACCCUGAUCCAGCAAUGCCGCGUGAGUGAAGAGGGCCUUCGGGUUGUAAAGCUCUUUUGUCAGGGAAGAAACACCGGCUCUAACACAGUCCGGGAAUGACGGUACCUGAAGAAUAAGCACCGGCUAACUACGUGCCAGCCGCCGCAGUAA